rnacentral:tRNA from 1 species
GGCUCAGUGGUAGAGUGCUUGCCUUACAUGCAUGAAGCCCUGGGUUCGAUUCCUCAG